AAGAUAAGGCCUGCUCAAUGAAAAUUUAAAUGGCCGCAGUAUAAUGACUGUGCUAAGGUAGCAUAAUAAUUUGCCUUUUAAUUGGGGGCUGGAAUGAAAGGUUUUAUGGAAAAUAGCUGUUUUAAAAUAAAUAAUUGAAUUUAAGUUUUGCAUAAAAACUUGCAAAUAUUCUUAAGGGACGAGAAGACCCUGUGGAUUUUUAUUUGUUAAAAAAUAAAUUUUAUAAUAUUUUAUUUUUUAUUCAAAUUUGGUUGGGAUGACAAUAAAAUUAACUUUAUUAAAAAAAUAAUACAGAUCCUUUUUAAGGAAGAAAGAAUAAAUUACCCCAGGGAUAACAGCGUAAUACUUUUGGACAGGACAAAUGGAUAAAAGUGUUUGCGACC
rnacentral:rRNA from 1 species